rnacentral:rRNA from 1 species
CAGGCUUAACACAUGCAAGUCGAGGGGCAGCAUGGUCUUAGCUUGCUAAGGCCGAUGGCGACCGGCGCACGGGUGAGUAACACGUAUCCAACCUGCCGUCUACUCUUGGACAGCCUUCUGAAAGGAAGAUUAAUACAAGAUGGCAUCAUGAGUCCGCAUGUUCACAUGAUUAAAGGUAUUCCGGUAGACGAUGGGGAUGCGUUCCAUUAGAUAGUAGGCGGGGUAACGGCCCACCUAGUCUUCGAUGGAUAGGGGUUCUGAGAGGAAGGUCCCCCACAUUGGAACUGAGACACGGUCCAAACUCCUACGGGAGGCAGCAGUGAGGAAUAUUGGUCAAUGGGCGAGAGCCUGAACCAGCCAAGUAGCGUGAAGGAUGACUGCCCUAUGGGUUGUAAACUUCUUUUAUAAAGGAAUAAAGUCGGGUAUGGAUACCCGUUUGCAUGUACUUUAUGAAUAAGGAUCGGCUAACUCCGUGCCAGCAGCCGCGGUAAUACGGAGGAUCCGAGCGUUAUCCGGAUUUAUUGGGUUUAAAGGGAGCGUAGAUGGAUGUUUAAGUCAGUUGUGAAAGUUUGCGGCUCAACCGUAAAAUUGCAGUUGAUACUGGAUAUCUUGAGUGCAGUUGAGGCAGGCGGAAUUUCGUGGUGUAGCGGUGAAAUGCUUAGAUAUCACGAAGAACUCCGAUUGCGAAGGCAGCCUGCUAAGCUGCAACUGACAUUGAGGCUCGAAAGUGUGGGUAUCAAACAGGAUUAGAUACCCUGGUAGUCCACACGGUAAACGAUGAAUACUCGCUGUUUGCGAUAUACUGCAAGCGGCCAAGCGAAAGCGUUAAGUAUUCCACCUGGGGAGUACGCCGGCAACGGUGAAACUCAAAGGAAUUGACGGGGGCCCGCACAAGCGGAGGAACAUGUGGUUUAAUUCGAUGAUACGCGAGGAACCUUACCCGGGCUUAAAUUGCAGAUGAAUUACGGUGAAAGCCGUAAGCCGCAAGGCAUCUGUGAAGGUGCUGCAUGGUUGUCGUCAGCUCGUGCCGUGAGGUGUCGGCUUAAGUGCCAUAACGAGCGCAACCCUUGUUGUCAGUUACUAACAGGUUCCGCUGAGGACUCUGACAAGACUGCCAUCGUAAGAUGUGAGGAAGGUGGGGAUGACGUCAAAUCAGCACGGCCCUUACGUCCGGGGCUACACACGUGUUACAAUGGGGGGUACAGAGGGCCGCUACCACGCGAGUGGAUGCCAAUCCCCAAAACCUCUCUCAGUUCGGACUGGAGUCUGCAACCCGACUCCACGAAGCUGGAUUCGCUAGUAAUCGCGCAUCAGCCACGGCGCGGUGAAUACGUUCCCGGGCCUUGUACACACCGCCCGUCAAGCCAUGGGAGCCGGGGGUACCUGAAGUGCGUAACCGAGAGGAGCGCCCUAGGGUAAAACUGGUGACUGGGGC